rnacentral:misc_RNA from 1 species
AACGCAUAUUGCGCUCUCUGGUAUUCCGGAGAGCAUGCUUGUUUGAGUAUCAGUAAACACCUCAACUCUAUAUUCUUUUUUGAAUAUAGAAUUGGACUUGAGCAAUCCCAACAUUUGUAACAAAAUGGCGGGUUGCUUGAAAUGCAGGUGCAGCUGGAACUUUUCCUGAGCUAAAAGCAUAUUUAUUUAGUCCCGUAAAAAGGAUUAUUACUUUUGCUGCAGCUAAUAUAAAGGGAAUUGAUCCUCAUGCUGACUGAUGCAGGAUUCACAAUUUGUCUUUGGACAAUUUGUAAACUCGAUCUCAAAUCAAGUAAGACUACCCGCUGAACUUAA